AGUCUUAUAUUCAAUUAUGAUCUCAGAUUGCAAAUUUGAUGGUGAGUCUACUCUAAGGCUU
rnacentral:tRNA from 1 species